AGUGCUGCAGAUACAUUUUGAGAUUUGGACAAUUGAAGCUGACUUAACUCUUUUAUUGAAAGAUAAUUUUCUCAGAUACUACUCACAUUGGCAUACUGUAAUCUCUCUUUAUCCCAAAUGUAUUUUUUCUUUAAGAAAAAUCUCUGUAAGGACUCUAUGGGCUAGAAAAGUUUUAAAAUAAAUUUAUUAGUUUGUUAUAUGAAGUGAUACAGAUUUGAUUUAUCUCUUGUAAAGUCCUUAUUUCAACAAUCUUUCUAUUACAACAGGGCUUCUGGUUGGGACUCUUGAUUCAGUCUUGGACUCUACUGCUAAAGUAGCUCCAUUUCGCAUCCUACACCAGACACCAGAUUCUCAAGUUUACUUGUCAAUUGCAUGUGGAGCCAACAGAGAAGAAAUAACCAAGCAUUGGGAUUGGUUGGAACAAAAUAUUAUGAAGACCUUAUCUGUAUUUGAUUCAAAUGAAGAUAUUACUAAUUUUGUACAAGGAAAAAUAAGA
rnacentral:lncRNA from 1 species